rnacentral:rRNA from 1 species
UACGUAGGGUGCAAGCGUUAAUCGGAAUUACUGGGCGUAAAGCGUGCGCAGGCGGUUGUGUAAGACAGAUGUGAAAUCCCCGGGCUCAACCUGGGAACUGCAUUUGUGACUGCACAGCUGGAGUGCGGCAGAGGGGGAUGGAAUUCCGCGUGUAGCAGUGAAAUGCGUAGAUAUGCGGAGGAACACCGAUGGCGAAGGCAGCCCCCUGGGCCAACACUGACGCUCAGGCACGAAAGCGUGGGGAGCAAACAGG